GAAUCAAAAGUCCCUGGCUGGAUCCAAACUUUGUUGAAAGGGGAGGAAAGAUUCAGUUAGCUACCUAAACCACUCAGCCACAUAGCUUCAGUGCUAUCUGAUGAAGAUAAUGACCACUCAGCCUCAUAGGUGAACAGUUUUCAGAUAGAGAAAAUGACCACUCGGCCAAAUAGGCCAGGAGUUUUCAGAUGUACAUGGUUACCACUUAGCCUCAUAGGCAAAUAGUUUCAGGUUGAGAGAGUGACCACUCGGCCACAUAGGCAGAGUUAUCAGAUGUCCAUGGUGACCACUAGCCACAUUGGCGAAUAGUUUUCAGAUUGUGACCAUUUGCCCACAUAGGCAAAGAGUU